AGAGUUUGAUCCUGGUUCAGGGUGAAUGCUAGCGGCGUGCUUAAGGUAUGCAAGUCAAACCCGCGCAAGCGGGUGGCGAACGGCUGAGUAAUACGUAGGAUCUACCUCUAAGUAAGGCAUAACCCAUCGAAAGGUGGGAUAAUUCCUUAUGUGGUGGCAACAUCAAAGAUUUAUCGCUUAGAGAUGAGCCUGCGUCCUAUCAGGUAGUUGGUUGGGUAAAGGCCUACCAAGCCUAUGACGGGUAGCUGGUAUAAGUGUAUGACCAGCCAGAGGGGCACUGAGAUACGGSCCUCACCCCUACGGGGGGCAGCAAUCGGGAAUUUUGCGCAAUGGGCGAAAGCCUGACGCAGCGACGCCGCGGAAGGAUUAAGGCCUUCGGUUUGUAAACUUCGUUGUAAGCACCGGCUAACUUACGUGCCAGCAGCAGCGGUCAUACGUAGGGUGCAAGCAUUACCCGGGCUUUAUUGGGCGUAAAGAGUUCUGUGGGCGGUUGAAUAAGUUUGGAAAGUUAAAUAUCCCCGGCUCAACGGGGAGGAGGCUUUCAAUACUAAUUUUGACUUGGAGGUGACUAGGGGGGUAGCGAACCGCAUGGUGUAGCAGUGAAAUGGCGUUGAUAUCAUGCGGGAACACCAAGGGGGGAAAGCCAGCUACCUUGGGG
rnacentral:rRNA from 1 species